CGGUGAAAAAAAAUCGAAAACGAAAACAUAGAAAAGUCGAAGAAGAAAAACCUUAUCGCGAUCCAAAUCUCUCAAGCCAUACCCAAAAAUCGUCUCUACAUCUUCGACGAGAGAAGAAAGAAGAAGAAAAAUAUCUCUUGAUCAACAAAGUUCCAUCCAAUAUGUAAAGAAAGAGUGGUAUACCGUAUACAUGAAACCAAAAAGAAAAAAAGAAAAAAAAAACGCUAGGAAAAAACCUAGGUUUUUUUCUCUGCAAAACAAAUCAUCAUAACCUAAAUCACAUAACAUCUUUCAAUCGGUGAGGUAACGAUCAUCGAUACAGAAAUCCAGUAAUCUUUCAAUCUUAAACCUAUAUUGAUAUUCGUUCAUCCUAAACAUUCCCUCUACGUUUCUUCUACAACAAACCAUGGAUUUUCAUCAUCAAACUAACCUAAACCCAAUAUUACAGUCUAAAAUCUGAGACCUACACCAUGUUAUAAUCGAGUUUUGCGUAUAUACAUAAUCCGACAGAAAAAUCCAUGAAAACAUGGUCUAAUCUCUGACGACCAAGCAAAUCACAGUCCAUGAGAUUCCGGAGGAUCUGUGGUUCAAGAAACGUCUCAAGCCCCCUGUGUUUGAGGGGAAAGCUUUUACAAACUUGGAUGAUGUCGAUGCUGCUUUCGAGGGCUUAGAAGUGAGUCACAGGAGGCUUUGAUGCCAAUUCAUGUGGAAACUUUAUAAUCAAGGUUAGGAGAGAAGUUAAUUUUUUUUUGAUUGAUUGAGUGGUGCUAUUAUAUUUGUGGAGACGUUUUGCUUAGCUCCACCUCCGUACUGCUCAUAUGAAACACAAAUAUGUCGAUGCAGUGGAGGUAAGCAUCUGAACUAAUUGAAACAGGGAAGAAUAAUUGAAGCUAAAUGAGCUUAGAUGAAUGUUAGGAAAGGUGAGAAGAAACUGGUGGAAGUAUUGCAAUGUUUAUUCUUGCAGUGGGUUGAACUGAAGGCUUCAGAACAACAAGAAGAUGAUGGUACAGAGAGUGCAUUUUCUGUUGCAGUUGCAGUCAAUGGCAGAGGUUGUUUUAAAUGGUUCAGGGUGGUAUUGAUGGCAUGAAGAAGAAGAAGAAGAAGUUGAUGCUGCCUGAGUUAAGAAGAUAAAAUGAGAUUGCAGUGGAAUUUUUCACAUGGGGCUGUUACGUUGCCUUUUCUUAAGGACGCACUGGAUUUCUUGAAAGAACUCCUGGGAACAUAAUCUGGAAUGAGAUAUUCAAAAUUUAGAGAAUUAAUUAGGGCAUACAAUUUGACGUUUGCAUUGACGUGGACGGGUGGCGAGAUAGAUAAAUACAAUUAACGAUGGGAAUGGUCAUGCGUGUAUAGCAUGGUCCUUUGAAUGUUACUGAUAUUUAGUCUUAUAAGCAAUUUCAAUAUCGACCUGUUGGGACUGUGUACACAUAUAUCUCACCAUCAUACACGUGUAUAUAAAAAAAUACGUGGAAAGCAGGCAGGCCAAGACAUCAAAAUACGAUGUACUACGGAACAUCAAAUAAACCCCAAGGAGACUUUA